CCUCCCACGCGUGUGUCGCUUUUAGGCCCCUCUCGUUUCCAGUCGGAGUUCACCCCCAAUCCCCACGCUGCGACUGAGGGGGAAAAGUGGCUCAAUCCACAGACUUAUCCGCUCAACCCACGAAGCCAUCCAGGACUAUUUUGGAUCGUACCAUUCCUCGUCAUGGGGAGGGAAGAUAGGACAUUCCGCGACACACACACGGAGAGAAAGGGGACCGUACGGCUACUGACUUUUGUCCUUAGCGAGCCCCUUGAAGGUCACUUGGAGCCGUUCACGUUUAAGACCCCUGGAAAAACAAUGAUCCAGCUAGAGUGAAGAGAAGUCCAGACUGGCAGUGCUAAGCACAUGCCCCACUGUGGCCAGAUCAUCUGAGGGUGUUCCUGUUCGGUGCAAUCUUCUUGGUAGCCAAAGAUGAAAGGAGACUGAAGCCCAGAAGUCCCAGGAUUGCAAAAGAUUAAAAUACAAGUGAAUGAAGACUGAGAUCAGAAAAAAAUGGGAACAUGUCCGUAGAGCCAUCAUGGAACGGGCUGCUUCAUAUCAUAGGAAGGGUGGGUGAUGGGAGACAGAGCCUUUCGUCUCCAAGUCACCACUUCAAAUAUAGUCCAGAUCAGCAGUGACUGAAGUCACUGCUUCUGUCGCCUCUGUGAAAUGAUUGAAGGAUGCUUGUCUCAGCCAGUCUUGCCUUGCCUUCCCUACCACGGUUUUCCUUGCACCAGACAUGCAGCUCCGUGGCCCUCUCAGGCCUCUGUUGGGACUCUUUUCAGCAUGUGCCCCAAGAUCAAAUCCAAUGGGGAUGGAAUUCACUGGAAAACGAAGCGACCGUUUGAAUCUGCAGCAUGAUCCUGGGCAGCAGCAGGAAAGGCAUGUGCUGCUUCUGG